rnacentral:lncRNA from 1 species
CCGUGAAUUGCUUACUAGAUUGGAUGACUGCAUUUUCUUUCUCCUUUGCUUUCUAAUUUUGUGUGCAUUUGGGUUGUGUACUUAAAAUGUUCAUAAUGAGCUAAAUCUCUAUGGAGAUAACAAGAUGACUAUCAUUGAAUACUAAGCCCGAGUCAUUUUUCCCCUUUGUGUGGUGUAGUCUUUGUUACAUAAACUUCGUGUACAGGUGUGGGGUGUGGGUAUGUGAAGUGUUGUAUUUAUCUAAUUCCCAUGGGUAGCCAUGUGGUUAAGGUGCAAUAUUAAUAUUUAUUAAUGUCCUUCCUUUAUUUUCUAGGGUGAAUUGGCUUUUACAAGGACUGUAAAGCAUUUACAUGCAUACUGUGG